UUGGGACUGAGACACGGCCCAGACUCCUACGGGAGGCAGCAGUAGGGAAUCUUCCACAAUGGACGAAAGUCUGAUGGAGCAACGCCGCGUGAGUGAUGAAGGUUUUCGGAUCGUAAAACUCUGUUGUUAAAGAAGAACAAGUGUUAGAGUAACUGUUAACACUUUGACGGUAUUUAACCAGAAAGCCACGGCUAACUACGUGCCAGCAGCCGCGGUAAUACGUAGGUGGCAAGCGUUGUCCGGAUUUAUUGGGCGUAAAGCGAGCGCAGGCGGUUUUGUAAGUCUGCUGUGAAAGCCCUCAGCUCAACUGAGGAAGUGCAGUGGAAACUACAAAACUUGAGUACAGAAGAGGAAAGUGGAACUCCAUGUGUAGCGGUGAAAUGCGUAGAUAUAUGGAAGAACACCAGUGGCGAAGGCGGCUUUCUGGUCUGUUACUGACGCUGAGGCUCGAAAGCAUGGGUAGCGAACAGGAUUAGAUACCCUGGUAGUCCAUGCCGUAAACGAUGAAUACUAGGUGUUGGAGGGUUUCCGCCCUUCAGUGCCGCAGCUAACGCAUUAAGUAUUCCGCCUGGGGAGUACGACCGCAAGGUUGAAACUCAAAGGAAUUGACGGGGGCCCGCACAAGUGGUGGAGCAUGUGGUUUAAUUCGAUGCUACGCGAAGAACCUUACCAGCUCUUGACAUCUUCUGCCAACCCAAGAGAUUGGGCGUUCCCUUCGGGGACAGAAUGACAGGUGGUGCAUGGUUGUCGUCAGCUCGUGUCGUGAGAUGUUGGGUUAAGUCCCGCAACGAGCGCAACCCUUAUUAUUAGUUGCCAGCAUUUAGUUGGGCACUCUAGUGAGUAUGCCGGUGAU
rnacentral:rRNA from 2 species